ACGGGUGAGUAACACGUGGGCAACCUGCCCUUGAGACUGGGAUAACUUCGGGAAACCGGAGCUAAUACCGGAUAAUAUAAGGAACCUCCUGGUUCCUUGUUGAAAGAUGGUUUCGGCUAUCACUUAAGGAUGGGCCCGCGGCGCAUUAGCUAGUUGGUGAGGUAACGGCUCACCAAGGCGACGAUGCGUAGCCGACCUGAGAGGGUGAUCGGCCACACUGGGACUGAGACACGGCCCAGACUCCUACGGGAGGCAGCAGUAGGGAAUCUUCCACAAUGGACGAAAGUCUGAUGGAGCAACGCCGCGUGAGUGAUGAAGGCCUUCGGGUCGUAAAGCACUGUUGUUAGGGAAGAACAAGUGCGAGAGUAACUGCUCGCACCUUGACGGUACCUAACCAGAAAGCCACGGCUAACUACGUGCCAGCAGCCGCGGUAAUACGUAGGUGGCAAGCGUUAUCCGGAAUUAUUGGGCGUAAAGCGCGCGCAGGUGGUUUCUUAAGUCUGAUGUGAAAGCCCACGGCUCAACCGUGGAGGGUCAUUGGAAACUGGGGAACUUGAGUGCAGAAGAGGAAAGUGGAAUUCCA
rnacentral:rRNA from 1 species